rnacentral:rRNA from 1 species
AGUAACAAAGAGCGUUAAAAUUAAAUUUCACGAAGAUAUACGAGUUAUAUAAUACAAGAUUUUAGUCUCUUUAUAUGUGGCAUAAUAUUAAUUUAGUUUUAUAUAGGGGUGAUAGGCCUACCAAGUGUGUUGAUAUCUUGAUACACAAGAAAUAUAUAUAGUAUAAAGGUAAACUACUAAAGUUAAGCUUGGUAGUGAAUAUAAAUUUAAUUUUAAUUUAUCCAUCAAAGUUUACACCGCUGGAAGAUUUUGAAAAUUGACAUUAAUUAUUAAUUUUUAUAUUAAGUAUUGUGUUAUAUUUAAUAAUAUUAGAUAUAUAUAAUGUUAGUAUUAGUAGAUAUAUUAAAUGCUUUGAAUGAACUCGGCAACAUUCUUUUCAACUGUUUACCAAAAACAUAGUUAUAUGAUUUAUAUAUAAUUAUUUCUGCUCCAUGAUAUGUUAAAUAGCCGCAGUACUCUGACUGUGCAAAGGUAGCAUAAUCAGUUGGCUCCUAAAUAGAGUCUGGAAUGAAUGAACAUAUGCAGAGUAGCUAUCUCAGAGUAUUUAUUUGAAAUUGGUUGUGGGUGAAAAUCCCCACAAUUUUCUAAAAGACGAGAAGACCCUAGAAACUUAUAUUAUUGUUUUGUUGGGGCGACAAAAUUACAUAUAACUAAUUUUUAAAGUUACCGUGACGAAUGCAGAAAGUUAAAGUUACUCUAGGGAUAACAGCACUAAUAUUUUUUGUUUGUGACCUCGAUGUUGGACUAGGUAAAGUGUUCUUUAGAAGGGAACAUAUAGGCUCUGUUCGAGCAAGUGAACCUACCUGAUCUGAGUUCAGACCGG